AUUGAACGCUGGCGGCAUGCUUUACACAUGCAAGUCGAACGGUAACAGGCCUUCGGGUGCUGACGAGUGGCGAACGGGUGAGUAAUGCAUCGGAACGUGCCCAGAGGUGGGGGAUAACGCAGCGAAAGCUGUGCUAAUACCGCAUGUGAUCUGAGGAUGAAAGCGGGGGACCAGGCAGCAAUGUUUGGCCUCGCGCCUUUGGAGCGGCCGAUGUCAGAUUAGGUAGUUGGUGGGGUAAAGGCCUACCAAGCCGACGAUCUGUAGCUGGUCUGAGAGGUCGACCAGCCCCACUGGGACUGAGACACGGCCCAGACUCCUACGGGAGGCAGCAGUGGGGAAUUUUGGACAAUGGGCGCAAGCCUGAUCCAGCAAUGCCGCGUGCGGGAAGAAGGCCUUCGGGUUGUAAACCGCUUUUGUACGGAACGAAAAGGCUCUGGCUAAUACCUGGGGCUGAUGACGGUACCGUAAGAAUAAGCACCGGCUAACUACGUG
rnacentral:rRNA from 1 species